AGUGUAAGCGUAAAAAUAAGGGCUAAGAAGAAAUUAUUUUUGUACCUUUUGUAUCAGGGAGUUUCAAAAAUUUAAGUAGGUGGGGUUCGAUUGUAGCCGAUCUUUAGGUGAUAGCAAAGUAGAAAUUUUGGUUUUUAGGGUAAAAGGAGAGAGAAUGUCCCGGGGCUAAUUAUAUCUAAUUGCUUAGUUAUUAAAAGGUAAAGCUUUUAAGUGUGCGAAGAGAGAGGAGAAUAUGGAAAACUAGGCUUUAAACCAGCUGAGUUUAGAGGCUGUUUUAAGUAAUCUAAUUAAAUAGUAUAAGCCGCGCUUAGCUAUGUCAGGGGACUAGGUCUGUUAAAAAGAAUGAUAGUAUUGAACAAUAGUAGGAGUAAAAAAAUUACUCGAGGCAAGCCAGAAUGUUUAGCAAAAACAUUUCUUCGAGGUGAAUUCGAAGUAUGACCUGCCCGGUGAGAUUUUAACGGCUGCGGUAUUUUGACCGUGCUAAGGUAGCAUAAUCACUUGUGUCUUAAUUGGGCAAAGGAAUGAACGGUCGAACUGGCUUUAUUAAGUUUGUCUUGCUCUAUGGAAAAUUAAAGUCAAGGUAAUAAUUCUUUGAUGUGCUAGGGGACGAUAAGACCCUUGGAAGCUUGAACAUAGGCUAUUACGCUGUUAGAGGAGGCCGCGAGUUGUGUUGACUGGGGCGGUAGCCUUAAGUGAACUAAGGUGUUGUUAUGAGAUCCUCUACAUAGAGAUAAGGUGUAGUAGUUACUCAAGGGGUAACAGAGUAAUAUUUUUGGAGAGAUCUUAUUGAUAAAGAUGAUUGCUACCUCGAUGUUGAAUUAAGAUGUCUGGGUGAAGCAGAAGGCACAGUAGAGGGUUUGUUCAACCUUUAAAUUCUUACAUGAUUUGAGUUCAAAUCGGUUUAAGCCAGAUUGGAUUUUAUCUCUAGCUAAAGUAUAAGCUUACUUAGUACGAAAGGGGCGGUGAGGGUUUGUGUGC
rnacentral:rRNA from 1 species